UGGGGAAUUUUGGACAAUGGACGCAAGUCCGAUCCAGCCAUGCCGCGUGCGGGAAGAAGGCCUUCGGGUUGUAAACCGCUUUUGUCAGGGAAGAAAUCUUCUGGGUUAAUACCUCGGGAGGAUGACGGUACCUGAAGAAUAAGCACCGGCUAACUACGUGCCAGCAGCCGCGGUAGUACGUAGGGUGCAAGUGUUAAUCGGAAUUACUGGGCGUAAAGCGUGCGCAGGCGGUGAUGCAAGACAGAUGUGAAAUCCCCGGGCUCAACCUGGGAACUGCAUUUGUGACUGCAUAGCUGGAGUGCGGCAGAGGGGGAUGGAGUUCCGCGUGUAGCAGUGAAAUGCGUAGAUAUGCGGAGGAACACCGAUGGCGAAAGCAAUCCCCUGGGCCUGCACUGACGCUCAUGCACGAAAGCGUGGGGAGCAAACA
rnacentral:rRNA from 1 species